rnacentral:rRNA from 1 species
AUGGGAGAAGCUAUCUCAUGUUCAGCUAAUACGGACACACCUGAUUCCAUCACUUGGAAGCUCACCAAGGAUGGUCAUUAUUCAGCGGCAACGGUUUACAGUGCGCAAUUUCUUGGUUUAGUCGAUACGGACUUACAACGAAUUAUUUGGAGAACUUGGGCUCCCCCAAAAUGCAAGUUUUUCGCUUGGCUAGUCAUCAACAAUAGAAUCUAGACGACAGACCGGCUUCAGAAGCGGGGAUGGCCUAAUUGCAACAUGUGUCCCCUUUGUAAGCAAGUUCAGGAAUCGGCGGCUCAUCUGCUUUUCAAAUGCAGAUACACGGUUAUAGUGUGGAACAUGAUUUUAGGUGUGCUUGGCCUUCAUGACAUUUACCCGCAGAACUGGGCCAUGGUUGACACAGUGAAGACUUGGUGGAGCGCCAACACCUCCAACACGACGCAAUCUCGACGACCGCUUACCUGCCUUAUGCUACUUGUCUCAUGGGAAAUCUGGAAAGAGCGGAAUGCUAGAGUAUUUCGUAACGUCGCAAUGCCUGUUGGAGUUUUAGUUGCUAGAAUCAAAGACGAGGUGGCGAUAUGGUUGAGGGAGUCCCGGAUUAAGUGGUCCUCGGACGGCUGGACUAUAUGCAUACGCCGGACUGUUGGGCUAUGA